AAAACGACUCUCGGCAACGGAUAUCUCGGCUCUCGCAUCGAUGAAGAACGUAGCAAACUGCGAUACUUGGUGUGAAUUGCAGAAUCCCGUGAACCAUCGAGUCUUUGAACGCAAGUUGCGCCCGAAGCCAUUAGGCCGAGGGCACGUCUGCCUGGGCGUCACAC
rnacentral:rRNA from 1 species